GGCGUGUACUGCUUGGCUGGGCCUUACUUCUUGGUGAGCCGGCGUGCCCUUUAUUGGUGUGCGUCGGGGAACCAAGACUUUUACCUUGAGAAAAUUAGAGUGUUCAAAGCAGGCCUAUGCCUGAAUACAUUAGCAUGGAAUAAUAAAAUAAGACGUGCGGUUCUAUUUUGUUGGUUUCUAGAGUCCCCGUAAUGAUUAAUAGGGACAGUUGGGGGCAUUGGUAUUGAGUCGCUAGAGGUGAAAUUCUUGGAUUGACUCAAGACCGACUAUUGCAAAAGCAUUUGCCAAGGAUGUUUUCAUUAAUCAAGAACGAAGGUUAGGGGAUCGAAAACGAUCAUAUACCGUUGUAGUCUUAACAGUAAACUAUGCCGACUAGGGAUAGGAUGACCUCAAAAAAGAUGUGUCAUUCGGCACCUUACGAGAAAUCAAAGUCUUUGGGUUUUGGGGGGAGUAUGGUGGCAAGGCUGAAACUUAAAGGAAUUGACGGGAGGGGCACCACCGGGUGUGGAGCGCGCGGGUUAAUUUGACUCAACACGGGGAAACUCUCCAGGUCCAGACAUAAAUAGGAUUGACAGAGUGAUAGCUCUUUCAUGAUUUUAUGGGUGGGUGGUGCAUGCGCCGUUCUUUAGUUGGUGGAGUGAUUUGUUGGGUUAAUUACGAUAACGAACGAGACCUCAACCUCCUAAAUAGCCAGCCGGCCUUCGUCUGGUCUCUGGCUUGUUAGAGGGAGGGUCAG
rnacentral:rRNA from 1 species